GCAGGGACAGCAGCAACAAAGGCCAAGCUUCCCGCCUCCGGGACCUCCGUCUGGUUCCUGCAGCAGGACACUGUCUAUGUGGUCCCAUGGGAGCUGAAUGAUGGCACCCAAAGGCACGUUUGUCUCUGCUGAGCCACCGGGGAAACAGAAGGUGUGCCAGCCAGGGGGACUGAGUCCUGGGGAGACCUGGCUGACACCAGCCCAAGAGGCUGGCAGAGGCCCAAAAGCCAGAGCUGAGGGGCAGGUCCAGAAACCCUCCACCACGUGGCCACUGUGGCCCACCGACUGCAGCCACACCAACCUCCAUACCGGUUCUGGAGCACGCCAGACUCACCCGCCUCAGGACUUUCGCACUUGCUGUUCUCUUGGCUUGAGAAGUUCUUCCUCCACGUGUCUGCCUGGUCAGCUCCUUCUCUUUGUUCUGAUCUCUGUUUAUCUCAGGUCUUCCCGGAUGGUACAAUGGUAAAGAGUCUGUCUGCCAAUGCAGGAGAUGCCGGUCCAACACCUGGGUCAGGAAGAUGCCCUGGAGGAGGGCAUGGCAACCCACUCCAGUGUUCUUGCCUGGAGCAUCUCAUGGACAGAGGAGCCUGGUUAUCUCCUCAGAGAGGCCCUCCUGGACCACCCUGCUUAAGUGAUCACCUCUCUCCCCCGUUACCAUAGUGUAUGUUCCCACCUGGC
rnacentral:lncRNA from 1 species